rnacentral:rRNA from 1 species
GAGUAACACGUGGGUAACCUACCUAUAAGACUGGGAUAACUUCGGGAAACCGGAGCUAAUACCGGAUAACAUUUGGAACCGCAUGGUUCUAAAGUGAAAGAUGGUUUUGCUAUCACUUAUAGAUGGACCCGCGCCGUAUUAGCUAGUUGGUAAGGUAACGGCUUACCAAGGCAACGAUACGUAGCCGACCUGAGAGGGUGAUCGGCCACACUGGAACUGAGACACGGUCCAGACUCCUACGGGAGGCAGCAGUAGGGAAUCUUCCGCAAUGGGCGAAAGCCUGACGGAGCAACGCCGCGUGAGUGAUGAAGGGUUUCGGCUCGUAAAACUCUGUUAUUAGGGAAGAACAAACGUGUAAGUAACUGUGCACGUCUUGACGGUACCUAAUCAGAAAGCCACGGCUAACUACGUGCCAGCAGCCGCGGUAAUACGUAGGUGGCAAGCGUUAUCCGGAAUUAUUGGGCGUAAAGCGCGCGUAGGCGGUUUCUUAAGUCUGAUGUGAAAGCCCACGGCUCAACCGUGGAGGGUCAUUGGAAACUGGGAAACUUGAGUGCAGAAGAGGAAAGUGGAAUUCCAUGUGUAGCGGUGAAAUGCGCAGAGAUAUGG